AGCAAUACCUCGCUGAUACAGGGGUGGAUUCGAAGCCUCUAGAAGGUUAACAUAAUCUCUCCUCCUCCUAAUCUUACUCAAUACGUCCCCGUCGUACAGAACGGUAACAUGCCUCUCAAUUAUCCAAGCUUGGGUAUACGGGGAAACCCCUUGGGCGGAUGGGUUGCAUGGCUAAAUUGAGAGGG
rnacentral:ribozyme from 1 species